AGUGAACGCUGGCGGUAGGCCUAACACAUGCAAGUCGAACGGCAGCACAGUAAGAGCUUGCUCUUACGGGUGGCGAGUGGCGGGCGGGUGAGGAAUACAACGUAAUCUACUUUUUCGGGGGGGAUAACGUAGGGGAAGUUACGCUAAUACAGCAUACGACCUACGGGUGAAAGCAGGGGAUCUUCGGACCGUGCGCGAUUGAAUGAGCCGGUGUCGGAUUAGCUUGUUGGCGGGGUAAAGGCCCACCAAGGCGACGACGCGUAGCUCGCCUGGGAGGAUGACCGGCCACAUUGGGACGGAGAUACGGCCCAGACUCCUACGGGGGGCAGCAGUGGGGAAUAUUGCACAAUGGGCGGAAGCCUGAUGCAGCAACGCCGCGUGCGGGAUGACGGCCUUCGGGUUGUAAACCGCUUUCGCCUGUGACGAAGCGUGAGUGACGGUAAUGGGUAAAGAAGCACCGGCUAACUACGUG
rnacentral:rRNA from 1 species